AUAUGCGGGCACCGUGAUAGGGACCUCGAGUGCCUGUAUAUGCAGGCUGUCCAGGUGUCUAAAACACACCUGAAGAAAGGGCCGGGCAAGACCGGUGCCAGCCGCCGCGGUAAUACCGGCGGCUCGAGUGGUGGCCACUUUUAUUGGGCUUAAAGCGUUCGUAGCUGGGUUGUUAAGUCUCUUGGGAAAUCCGGCGGCUCAACCGUCGGGCGUCUAAGAGAUACUGGCGAUCUUGGAACCGGGAGAGGUGAGGGGUACUUCGGGGGUAGGAGUGAAACCCUGUA
rnacentral:rRNA from 1 species